GAUGAACGCUAGCGGCAGGCCUAACACAUGCAAGUCGAGGGGUAGAAGGAGCUUGCUCCUUUGAGACCGGCGCACGGGUGCGUAACGCGUAUGCAAUCUACCUUGUACAGGGGAAUAGCCCAGAGAAAUUUGGAUUAAUGCCCCAUAGUAUAUAACCUUCGCAUGUUGGUUAUAUUAAAGUUCCAACGGUACAAGAUGAGCAUGCGUCCCAUUAGUUAGUUGGUAAGGUAACGGCUUACCAAGACGAUGAUGGGUAGGGGUCCUGAGAGGGAGAUCCCCCACACUGGUACUGAGACACGGACCAGACUCCUACGGGAGGCAGCAGUGAGGAAUAUUGGUCAAUGGUCGCAAGACUGAACCAGCCAUGCCGCGUGCAGGAAGACGGUCCUAUGGAUGGUAAACUGCUUUUAUACAGGAAGAAACCCUCCCACGUGUGGGAGCUUGACGGUACUGUAGGAAUAAGAAUCGGCUAACUCCGUG
rnacentral:rRNA from 1 species